UUGAGUUAAAUAAUUUUGUUUGUAGUUGCGAAAUUAUUGACACCUUUACCAUAUGUUGUAAGUGUUAUUAAUGGUUAUGAAACCAUUGCAAUAGUAGUAAUGUCCCAUUGGUUAUUAUUACUAAAGUGACUUCUUGUUUAUAUGAAGUUUCUUACUUUGUUUUCUUCGUGUAGUUAAAAGAGUUAAUUAAUAAGCCAUCCCAACUUAUUAAUUAACAAAGUAAAGUUACUGAAGUUUAAACUCAGUGGAAAGUGUUUAACUUAGCUAUUGUAAGAUAUAGAAGUUAAAUAUUUUCAGGAUGUAAGCUAUAGUAAAAUUUUCAUAAUUAAUAACAUCCCCAAAAGAUUGAAAUAACUGUAAAAACAUUCCCUUAAUAUGAAAGUCGCGAGUUCCUCCCAAGCUCGUGACUUU
rnacentral:ncRNA from 21 species